AGUGAACGCUGGCGGUAGGCCUAACACAUGCAAGUCGAACGGCAGCACAGUAAGAGCUUGCUCUUACGGGUGGCGAGUGGCGGACGGGUGAGGAAUACAUCGGAAUCUACUUUUUCGUGGGGGAUAACGUAGGGAAACUUACGCUAAUACCGCAUACGACCUACGGGUGAAAGCAGGGGAUCUUCGGACCUUGCGCGAUUGAAUGAGCCGAUGUCGGAUUAGCUAGUUGGCGGGGUAAAGGCCCACCAAGGCGACGAUCCGUAGCUGGUCUGAGAGGAUGAUCAGCGACACUGGAACUGAGACACGGUCCAGACUCCUACGGGAGGCAGCAGUGGGGAAUAUUGGACAAUGGGCGCAAGCCUGCUCCAGCCAUACCGCGUGGGUGAAGAAGGCCUUCGGGUUGUAAAGCCCUUUUGUUGGGAAAGAAAAGCAGCAGGUUAAUACCCCGCUGUUCUGACGGUACCCAAAGAAUAAGCACCGGCUAACUUCGUG
rnacentral:rRNA from 1 species